rnacentral:rRNA from 1 species
GAAACCAUAAAAUCCCUGCCAAGAAAAGCGAGUAUAGCAGCCAGUACCGGAAUCCGACACAGGUAGACGGGAUGAGUAUUCUAACGCGCUCGGGUGAGCCGUGGAGAAGGAACUAGGCAAAUUAACGCUGUAACUUCGGGAUAAAGCGUACCAUAGCGAUAUGGUCACAGUAAAAUGGUUCAACCAACUGUUUAACAAAAACACAGGG